CGCGCUUGCCAUACGCCUCUUGAUUAUUCAUAAUAAUUACUAUUAUGGUUCUGUUAUGCUACACCCUUGGGCAUGGGGAACACGAGUAGCUAGUGAUUGAAUCAUCUCUGAAGUGUGAAUUGCAAUGACCCUUGUUUGCCUCUUGAUUAUUAAUCCAGUAUAAUAUGCUACUGUUAAACCCUUGGGCUUAGAAAACCCCAAAAAGGUAGUGAUUGAAUGAUCUAUGAACUACAAUUUCCAGUGCCAUGUUUCUUGACUGUUGAUGAUCAUAAUAUGGUUCUGUUAGGUUCAGAGAACUCGAGAAAGUAUUAGUUGAAUGAUCUGUAAAUUGCAAUUGCCCUUUUCUUUGGUUCACAUAAAGAUUCUAAAGGCUCAUUCACAACUGUAUUUAAUAGUUGGUGGGAUUAUGUAUUCUAAAAUAUUGUUGAAAAUCAUCAUUCAUCUACUACUAGCCACUUAUAAUGAGGAACAUGGUGUAAAAGGUUAUGGUGAACUGUCUAAGAUUUAGUUGUGACGAGAUGUUGCUUUCCUUGUAUUACUGAGUGCCACUUAUUGAUUAACAAUAAUAACUCUUAAUUUGGUUUUGAGAUGUUGUUUCCCCUAGGUUUGCUUCAAUAUUGUUUGGAAGUGCAGACCGCUCACUGAGGAUGAAUUUUUUCCUGCCAUUGAAGAGAACUACUAUAUCUCAAAGAAGUUCUACUUCGACCUUUCCUACCAGCAGUGUGUGCGCAUGCUCAACAGUCGAUGUUAAGAAGAGCUUCCUUCAUGAGCUUAGUUUGAUUUGGCCCGGUUUUGAUGCCUCUGCAGUGUGUGCGCAUGCUCAACAGGUACAGUCGCAACAACUCAAUUUCUUCAGAUGUGGCAUAGGAAGUCAUGUCCUCAUGUGCUACUAUUUCUAGAGCAUGCCGAAGCAGGCGAUGUGUCAUGUCCCGUGCGGCAGCCUCCCCAAUCCGCCUCGGCACCCACAUCAAGUCCUCUCGGUCUACCUCCUCCAUCGUGUAGCAUGGCUUUGAGCGGCCAGGUGUCCCAGAUUGACAGCGACGGCAGCAUGAGGGUGUGAUAAAAUAAUAAUUAGCAGUAACAUGCACUAAUAUGAGGUUUAGCACCAGGGGUAACUUUAUGCAAUCACACUUAGUAAGUAGCAUUUUCUGUUGCUCUAUGAUUUUUAUGUGGGUAAUGGUGAUCUCUAUACAGACUAUAGAUGAUGUUGAAGUACAUGUCACACUGAAAAAGAACAUGCCUGAGAUAAGGCCAUGGAACCUUCAUGUGGUGCAUACUAGGGACAAGAAAUGCUAUGCUAUAAAAGGUUUUUGAGCAGAGGUACUAGCAGUUGGAUGCUCCAUGCCACCACUUUGGUUAAUUGCUUGCAAUUGGAAGGAAUAUUGUUAGGUCGAGAGAGAAUUAUGGCAAAAGAUGAAGAUGUGGGCUCUUCGGUUAGUUUUGCUUAAGAUCACGGAAGCUUGGGUUGAUGGAGUGCUU